GCGGCGAAGGCGCAGCCCGAGGCGGCGGGUGGGAAGAGGACUGCCAGAGGGGCCUGCGGGAGACCCAGGGUCGGACCCAUAGGAGUCCUGUGGUGAGGACCUCCUUGAUCGCUCUUCUGCUUCGGUUCCCGCUGAAGGAGGAGCUUCGGGGUGCCGGCUGGGCUGCGCGGACUCCUCUUGGGGUCCGAUGAUGGAUCCCAGCGGGUGAUCGGGAAUGGGGUUCCAAUGCAG
rnacentral:lncRNA from 1 species